GUGGCCUAGGACACCGCCCUUUCACGGCGGUAACAGGGGUUCGAGUCCCCUAGGGGACGCCA
rnacentral:tRNA from 1 species